rnacentral:rRNA from 1 species
UCGCGAAUUUUUCACAAUGGACGCAAGUCUGAUGAAGCCACGCCGCGUGCGGGAUGAAGGCCCUCUGGGUUGUAAACCGCUGUCAGGGAAGGGGAAAUGGUAGGUGUUAACAGCAUCUAUUUUGACUGCUUUCCAAAGGAAGCCCCGGCAAAACAUGUGCCAGCAGCCGCGGUAAUACAUGUGGGGCAAGCGUUGUUCGGAAUCACUGGGCAUAAAGGGUGCGUAGGUGGUUUGUUAAGUCAUGGGUGAAAGUCUGGGGCCUAACCUUAGAAUUGCCUGUGAUACUGGCGAACUUGAGUGCGUAAGGGGUAACCGGAACGAGCAGUGUAGCGGUGAAAUGCGUAGAUAUUGCUCGGAAGGCCAAAGGCGAAGGCAGGUUACUGGUGCGCAACUGACACUG